rnacentral:sRNA from 1 species
ACAAAUCUGGAGUGUACAAGCACAUAACAGGUACUAACAUUGGAGGUCAUGCUGUUAAACUUAUUGGCUGGGGAACUUCUGAUGACGGUGAAGAUUAUUGG